AGGAAAAGAAACUAACAAGGAUUCCCCUAGUAGCGGCGAGCGAAGAGGGAAGAGCCCAGCACCGAACCUCGCGCCCUCGGGUGUCGCGGAAUGUGGUGUUCAGGAGGACCGUGCGCGUCUGUCCGGUAUCGUCCAAGUCUCCAUGAAUGGGGCCAGCAACCCAGAGAGGGUGUCAGGCCCGUGGGACGAGCCGCGACCGUGUAUUGGGUCUCUCCUUAGAGUCGGGUUGCUUGAGAGUGCAGCCCUAAGCGGGAGGUAAACUCCUUCUAAGGCUAAAUACGGCCACGAGACCGAUAGCAAACAAGUACCGCGAGGGAAAGUUGAAAAGAACUUUGAAGAGAGAGUUCAAGAGUGCGUGAAACCGUUCAGGGGGUUAAACGGGUGGGCCCUCGAAGGUCGAACGGUCCCCACUCCCGUCACCUGUAGUGCCGGCCCGUGCUGCUUUUCGAUUCCGCUACGGAACGAGGCUUGGUGCGGUUCGCCGGUCUACGGGGGCCGCUAGCUGGGGACCCAGUAGGACUCCGCAACCGGCUGGGAGGCCGUCAGAAGGGUUCUGUGAGGAAGCCCCCUCGUUGGGGUGGAUUCCGGGAUUCCGGGCGGUCCUCUCGGCCGUGAACCAAAAUUUCUCUCCUCACGGGGAGAAUGAGCGGAGAGUAGAGUCGGGUCCCACCCGACCCGUCUUGAAACACGGACCAAGGAGUCUAACAUGUGCGCGAGUCGUCGGGUACUACUAAACCCGAAGGCGUAAUGAAAGUGAAGGCCGCCCUUGUUGGCGGCCGAGGGGAGAUCCCGUUCUGCUCCGGUAGCUCGGGCGCAUCCCCGGGGCGUCGAAGCCGCGUUGCCGGCUAGACGAACCAAGAGCGUACACGUUGGGACCCGAAAGAUGGUGACCUAUGCCUGGCCAGGACGAAGCCAGGGGAAACCCUGGUGGAGGUCCGCAGCGAUUCUGACGUGCAAAUCGAUCGUCUGAGUUGGGUAUAGGGGCGAAAGACUAAUCGAACCAUCUAGUAGCUGGUUCCCCCCGAAGUUCCCUCAGAAG
rnacentral:rRNA from 1 species